AUUGAACGCUGGCGGAAUGCUUUACACAUGCAAGUCGAGCGGCAGCGCGGCCUUCGGGCUGGCGGCGAGCGGCGAACGGGUGAGUAAUGCAUCGGAACAUGCCCAGUCGUGGGGGAUACCACUUCGAAAGAAGUGCUAAUACCCACACCGUCCUGAGGGGGAAAGCGGGGGAUCCCACGCCCUCGCGCGAUGGGAGUGGCCGCUGCCAGAUUAGCUAGUUGGUGGGGUAAAGGCCUACCAAGGCGACGAUCUGUAGCUGGUCUGAGAGGAUGAUCAGCCACACUGGGACUGAGACACGGCCCAGACUCCUACGGGAGGCAGCAGUGGGGAAUUUUGGACAAUGGGGGCAACCCUGAUCCAGCCAUUCCGCGUGAGUGAAGAAGGCCUUCGGGGUGGAAAGCGCUUUCGGCAGGAACGAAACGGUGGGCUCUAACAUAGUCCGCUAAUGACGGUACCUUAAGAAGAAGCACCGGCUAACUACUUG
rnacentral:rRNA from 1 species